rnacentral:rRNA from 1 species
AUUGAACGCUGGCGGAAUGCUUUACACAUGCAAGUCGAACGGUAGAGGGGGCAACCCCUUGAGAGUGGCGAACGGGUGAGUAAUAUAUCGGAACGUGCCCAGUCGUGGGGAUAACGUAGCGAAAGUUACGCUAAUACCGCAUACGAUCUAAGGAUGAAAGCGGGGGACUCGCAAGAGCCUCGUGCGAUUGGAGCGGCCGAUAUCAGAUUAGGUAGUUGGUGGGGUAAAGGCUCACCAAGCCAACGAUCUGUAGCUGGUCUGAGAGGACGACCAGCCACACUGGAACUGAGACACGGUCCAGACUCCUACGGGAGGCAGCAGUGGGGAAUUUGGACAAUGGACGCAAGUCUGAUCCAGCCAUUCCGCGUGCAGGAUGAAGGCCCUCGGGUUGUAAACUGCUUUUGUACGGAACGAAAAGGUUUCUAAUUAAUACUAGGAGCUCAUGACGGUACCGUAAGAAUAAGCACCGGCUAACUACGUGCCAGCAGCCGCGGUAAAGUG